GCGCAGCACGGACCACGCCUGGCCGAAGCCCCACAGCGUUACUCGCAGAGCCUGGAAGAGGCCCGGGGAGACCCCACUCGGCACUCACCUCCUUGACAGGACCCAGAGGGUUGUGGGGGUGCAAGCGACCUCACUGCGGAGCCCGCCGCGCCCCGAGGGCCGGCUCCCCGCCCCCACGGCCUCCGGGGUACAGGGCAGCAGCAGCGUCAUGCGCCCCUGCCCGCGCCCCUCCUCCGCCCGCCCGCCCGCAGGCAGCCCUGGAUGAUUCAGGAAGCAUGCUCCCCUGGGAAAGCCCCAGCGGGCCUGCGAAGCUGGAGAAAGGCCGGAAGGGCGUGUCCUGCCCACCCUCGUGCUGGUUCACUCAUUGCAAUCACACAAAUGCCCAGGACAGAAGAUGCCAGAAUCUUUCUUCCUGCAGCUGCACCCCAACUUCCCAUCUCAGGGAAGUGGUCUUGGUUUGGUUUGGGUCUGAGUCUUUGUAUAUGUUUGUGUGAUUUUUUUGUUCCUUUGGUUUUGUUUGGUUUCCGAGUAGGAAACAUCAAAUUUCUGCUCUAGUUUUUGUCUUUUUCAUAUCCUGAGGUCAAUCAUGUUGGAGACACAAAAAGCAGCCCCCUCAAUGUCCAUUAACUUAUUUUUACAUGAACUUAGCUUCUGUCAUUAGCUGCUGGUUAACAUACAAUUUGAAGCUGCAGUCUUGCCCCUAUAAAAGAGUGUCCACAAAGAACGGCUUCUUCACCUCUGGCUGGAAGUCCCUGUGAAUAGAAAACUUACAUACGAGGUGCAGCUGAACCAAGUAAAACUUUUAUCACUAAAAAAACUUCAACACAAAAAUGAUACUCUUUAGCUAUAAUGUCUGCUUAUGAAACGCCAUUUUAAAGCAGGUGCUAUUACAUUUGAUAAAUUGAGUAGAUUCUCCAUUUCAACUGCAGGGGUAGGUUCAGAAAUUUUGGAUAUUUGGAAGGACCUCAGGAAUGGCCAGAAACAGUAUUGGUGGUGGUUUAACUUUAACAGAUUGAUCUGAUUGUAAAGGAAUAGUGCUACUAACACCCCCUCUCAUUUACAGACAUCUUAGGCACAGCUCCAAACUCUAAAAACCACGUAAGACCACUCACAGAAGAAUUCCUUGACAGUUUGGGAGAUGUUUGAUGGCGAUUCCUUCAGCUCACAGUUCCAAGGAUUUCAACCCAUGCUCAGCUGGCUCCCUUAUUCUGAGGCCUAUGCUCAUCUGACCAAGAUCCUUGGCUUCAGAACUGGAUAUGGCUCAGCAGUUAAGAGCACUGGCUGCAGCCGGGCAGUGGUGGC